UACUGGUCCUUUACUUGUAAUGCUUCCCACCGUCACCGUAUAAUAAAUAAAAACACUUAACUACAAAAAAUAAAAUAAUAUAAAUAAAUAAUUAUACAUAGAUUAUAUAAAGUAUGUAAACAUAAAAUGCCGAAUUAAAUUUUUAAAAUAUAGGCGUUCUUCGAAUAUCCAAUAAUUCGAAAUUAAAUCCGUGACGUAACUGACACGUUUCGCUCAUUCGCCGGCUAUUUUAAGAGCGACCAAUUAGAAGCUUUGGUUUAAAAUUUUAAACGAAACGUCUUGAUUGGUUUUUUGUUAUUAUUGACGCCAUUCCAGUUUCAGAAAGAAUCUUUGAACUAGAAAAUAGAAGCAAUCUGGAAAACUAAAAAUAAAUUGAAAUGCUCGUAAAAUGUGAAUUCGUGUCGCUCGACGCGUGCACCUUACGUAAAUUUAAAUUAAAUGGAAGAAAGCAAAUCAGACAAAGAAUAAGGGGACGUGCCCCAAGUACUCCAGUGUACGGCUACCCCUGGACAUCAAUAAUAUUAAAUUUUGAUGGUUAAAGUCGAGGAGGAGGGGAGAUAAAGACGGUCACGUGUCAUAUCUCCAGUGAGGUAAGACCUAAUUAAGAUUUUACUUGUUAUUAGCAUUUUAAUUUUUUUUCUUUUCUUUUACAAAACUCGUCUCUAUCCUGAAACGAAGCCUUUUUCCCAUUUUAAUAAA